rnacentral:lncRNA from 1 species
UCUUGUUUUUACUCUAGCUGCACGUCUGGGAUCACGUUAUCUUCGCCUUGACAUUUGGAACAUUGAUGAUCCGGAUAUUUAUGGCCAAUAGUUUUGCAGUAUCUGGUCAUUAUUUCUGAAGAGAUAAAAUCCUUCCUUAUAGCUCUUGUUGUAGGUUGUUGCUCAGGUUUUAGCAGACUUAGUGCCCAUUGCCUGAGUUCUUCCAUAUCUGC